rnacentral:rRNA from 1 species
AACGAACGCUGGCGGCAGGCCUAACACAUGCAAGUCGAACGCCCCGCAAGGGGAGUGGCAGACGGGUGAGUAACGCGUGGGAACGUGCCCUUCGGUUCGGAAUAACUCAGGGAAACUUGAGCUAAUACCGGAUACGUCCGUAAGGAGAAAGAUUUAUCGCCGAAGGAUCGGCCCGCGUCGGAUUAGCUAGUUGGUGAGGUAAACGGCCCACCAAGGCGACGAUCCGUAGCUGGUCUGAGAGGANGAUCAGCCACACUGGGACUGAGACACGGCCCAGACUCCUACGGGAGGCAGCAGUGGGGAAUAUUGGGCAAUGGGCGAAAGCCUGACCCAGCGACGCCGCGUGGGUGAUGAAGGCCGUUCGGUC